rnacentral:tRNA from 1 species
GCGCCCGUAGCUCAGUGGAUAGAGCAAUAGACUCCGGAUCUAUGAGCGCAGGUUCGACUCCUGCCGGGCGCACCA